rnacentral:rRNA from 1 species
UACGGAGGGUGCGAGCGUUGUCCGGAAUCACUGGGCGUAAAGGGCGCGUAGGUGGCUUGGUAAGCGUGUGGUGAAAGCCUGGGGCUCAACCCCGGGUCGGCCAUGCGAACUGCCGAGCUUGAGCACUGUAGAGGCAGGCGGAAUUCCGGGUGUAGCGGUGGAAUGCGUAGAGAUCCGGAAGAACACCAGUGGCGAAGGCGGCCUGCUGGGCAGUUGCUGACACUGAGGCGCGACAGCGUGGGGAGCAAACAGGAUUAGAAACCCCUUGUAGUCC